UAGAAGCAACAUCAGCAGCAAACCUCUGUGAGGGAGCUAUUUCUGGCAGGCAACCCAGUGAUGGGUCUGUUGGACAUGUGGACACUUGAUUGGGCUGAGCUUUCUACACCUCCAAAAUACCAGGGGCACUCCAGACCCCCUGAAAGCUCUAGAGUAAAUCCUGUUCUCUCUGGCUGCUAGAUGCACUCCUUCUAGUACGAAUCUGCUCUACAUUGUGUGAACUCCUCAUAGUGCUCAAAAGGGAUGGGAAAUCUUGAAGGAGUUCAACUUUCAUCAGACUUGGCCACACAGACAGUGAUCAGCAAUAAUGGAAGCUGUGGUGCACAAAGUCCAUAGGUUGUCAAGCCUGGGUUACAGAAAACUAAAGAGCCAAUAAAAUAUUUGUAAUGACCUUGAUUCAAACUCAA